rnacentral:rRNA from 1 species
CCUACGGGUGGCUGCAGUGGGGAAUAUUGCACAAUGGGGGAAACCCUGAUGCAGCGACGCCGCGUGAGUGAAGAAGUAAUUCGUUAUGUAAAGCUCUAUCAGCAGGGAAGAAAAUGACGGUACCUGAGUAAGAAGCCCCGGCUAACUACGUGCCAGCAGCCGCGGUAAUACGUAGGGGGCAAGCGUUAUCCGGAUUUACUGGGUGUAAAGGGAGCGUAGACGGCAGUGCAAGCCAGGAGUGAAAGCCCGGGGCCCAACCCCGGGACUGCUCUUGGAACUGCAUGGCUGGAGUACAGGAGGGGCAGGCGGAAUUCCUAGUGUAGCGGUGAAAUGCGUAGAUAUUAGGAGGAACACCGGUGGCGAAGGCGGCCUGCUGGACUGUGACUGACGUUGAGGCCCGAAGGCGUGGGGAGCAAACAGGAUUAGAUACCCUUGUAGUC